rnacentral:rRNA from 1 species
UGGCGGCUGUAGCGCGGUAAUCCCACCUGACCCCAUGCCGAACUCAGAAGUCUUACGCCGUAGCGCCGAAGGUAGUGUGGGGUCUCCCCAUGCGAGAGUAGGGAACUGCCAGGCA